rnacentral:rRNA from 1 species
CAUAAACCAAGGCAACAAACCCUACACCUUGCCCGCCAGAAUACUUCGAGUAAAAACUUAAAACUCAAAGGACUUGACGGUGUUGCAAACCAACCUAGAGGAGCCUGUCCAAUAAUCGAUAGUCCACGUUUUACCUUACCUUCUCUCGCACAGACCAGCCUAUAUACCGCCGUCGAACAAUUUUAGGUCUACCUUAUUGAGAGUGUCAUAGUAGACAACACAGCUGAACACUACAACGUCAGGUCAAGGUGUAGCUAAUGAGAAGGGUUGAGAUGAGCUACAUUCUCUGCCACAGAGCCCGAACCCAAAUGAAAAAUGGAUUUUUAAAGCUGGAUUUAGCAGUAAACUUGAUAAGAAUAUCAACUUGAAGACUGCGCUG